GAUGAACGCUGGCGGCGUGCCUAAUACAUGCAAGUCGAGCGAACAGACGAGGAGCUUGCUCCUUUGACGUUAGCGGCGGACGGGUGAGUAACACGUAGGUAACCUACCUAUAAGACUGGGAUAACUUCGGGAAACCGGAGCUAAUACCGGGUAAUAUUUGGAACCGCAUGGUUCGAUAGUGAAAGAGGGCUUUGCUAUCACUUAUAGAUGGACCUGCGGCGUAUUAGUUAGUUGGUAAGGUAACGGCUUACCAAGGCAACGAUACGAAGCCGACCUGAGAGGGUGAUGCGCCACACUGGAGCUGAGCCACGGUCCAGACUCCUACGGGAGGCCGAGGUAGGGAAUCUUCCGAAAUGGGCGGAAGCCUGACGGAGCAACGCCGCGUGAGUGAUGAAGGUCUUCGGAUCGUAAAACUCUGUUAUUAGGGAAGAACGAACGUGUAAGUAACUGUGCACGUCUUGACGGUACCUAAUCAGAAAGCCACGGCUAACUACGUG
rnacentral:rRNA from 1 species